UACGUAGGGACCAAGCGUUGUUCGGAUUUACUGGGCGUAAAGGGCGCGUAGGCGGCGUGGUAAGUCACUUGUGAAAUCUCCGGGCUUAACCCGGAAGGGUCGUUCGAUACUGUUGAGCUAGAGUGUGGAAGAGGCAACUAGAAUUCCGUGUGUAGCGGUGAAAUGCGUAGAUAUACGGAGGAAUACCUGAGGCGAAGGCGGGUUGCUGGGCCAACACUGACGCUGAGGCGCGAAAGCCAGGGGAGCAAACGGG
rnacentral:rRNA from 1 species